rnacentral:rRNA from 1 species
CAGCAGUAGCCACGGGAAUACGGAGGGAGCUAGCGUUGUUCGGAAUUACUGGGCGUAAAGCGCGCGUAGGCGGUUACUCAAGUCAGAGGUAAAAGCCCGGGGCUCAACCCCGGAACUGCCUUUGAAACUAGGUGACUAGAAUCUUGGAGAGGUCAGUGGAAUUCCGAGUGUAGAGGUGAAAUUCGUAGAUAUUCGGAAGAACACCAGUGGCGAAGGCGACUGACUGGACAAGUAUUGACGCUGAGGUGCGAAAGCGUGGGGAGCAAACAGGAUUAGAUACCCCUGUAGUCCCUGUCUCUUAUAC